rnacentral:rRNA from 1 species
UUCCAGACUCCUACGGGAGGCAGCAGUGGGGGAUAUUGCACAAUGGAGGAAACUCUGAUGCAGCGACGCCGCGUGAGUGAAGAAGUAUUUCGGUAUGUAAAGCUCUAUCAGCAGGGAAGAAAAUGACGGUACCUGAUUAAGAAGCCCCGGCCAACUACGUGCCAGCAGCCGCGGUAAUACGUAGGUGGCAAGCGUUGUCCGGAAUGACUGGGCGUAAAGGGAGCGUAGGCGGCGCGGUAAGUUAGGAGUGAAAUCCCGGGGCUCAACCCCGGAACUGCUUUUAAAACUGCCGUGCUUGAGUGAUGGAGAGGAAAGCGGAAUUCCUAGUGUAGCGGUGGAAUGCGUAGAUAUUAGGAGGAACACCAGAGGCGAAGGCGGCUUUCUGGACAUUAACUGACGCUGAGGCUCGAAAGCGUGGGGAGCAAACAGGAUUAGAUACCCCAGUA